rnacentral:lncRNA from 10 species
GGGUUCCGCUUGACUCUGCAUUCUCCUACUUCCCUGCCUGCUUACUCUCUGCCAUCAUAGUUUUUUGCUUCAACCUUCAAAUGUAGCCAUUCUUUUUCUAAAGCGGUACUUAUUCUCUUUAUUAGUUAAAAUUAUUAAUUUUAUGCACUUACUGUUCUAGCUCCAAUUUUGCAUUUCCAGUUCCCUGCUGGGAAUAAAUUAAAUUGGCAGAAGCUCAGUCUAAGUGCCUGCAACAGAAUUUGUCCCAUAUCCAUACAACUUGCUCCUCCACAACAAAUGGGAGAAUCAUCCUCUUACCUCCAGCUCCUUUGUUUCAGGUCAGCCUUUCAAGAUGGAUCAUUUCAAUUCAUUACAUCUUAACUAGCCACAAGGGGAAUAGGACAAGUCCCUUCCUGAAAAGCUCUUCAUUGUCUCUUGAAAACGGUCUGUGAAAGUGCCAAACCACCAGCUCUCCAGAUGUGGCUGAAUAUCAAGGAAAAUAUCUUACGUGCAAGGAAUAAAA